CUAACAAGGAUUCCCCUAGUAACGGCGAGUGAAGCGGGAAGAGCACAAAUUUAAAAUCUACCUGGUUUCCAGGUCGAGUUGUAAUUUGAAGAAACGUUUUUGACGUUCCGAGUUGGGAUAAAUCCCUUGGGAUAAGGUAUCAUGGAGGGUGAGAAUCCCGUGUAUACCAACCGCAGGGAUGUUAUUCAAUACGUUUUCUAAGAGUCGAGUUGUUUGGGAAUGCUGCUCUAAAUGGGUGGUAAAUUUCACCUAAUGCUAAAUAUAAGCGAGAGACCGAUAGCGAACAAGUACCGUGAGGGAAAGAUGAAAAGAACUUUGAAAAGAGAGUUAAAUAGUACGUGAAAUUGUUGAAAGGGAAACGAUUGAAGUCAGUCAUGCCGGCGGGAAUCAACUUAGGGGAAACUCUAAGUGCGCUUCACGUUUGGCAGGUCAGCGUCGAUUUUGGAUAUCAUAAGAUGAUUGGGGGAAGGUAGCUCCUUCGGGAGUGUUAUAGCCCUUGAUAGAUGUGAUGUCUGGGAUCGAGGAUUGCAACGGAUACCCUUUGGGCUAGCCGCCUGAUCUCUAAUUGGUGUUGAGUUACGGACAGCAUGCUGACCGUGAUUUAAUUACUGGUUAAAAGGUUAGAGCGAGUGUAAAUUCGUUAAGGACGC
rnacentral:rRNA from 1 species